AAGGUCUCCGUUGGUGAACCAGCGGAGGGAUCAUUACCGAGUUUACAACUCCCAAACCCCUGUGAACAUACCUUAUGUUGCCUCGGCGGAUCAGCCCGCGCCCCGUAAAAAGGGACGGCCCGCCGCAGGAACCCUAAACUCUGUUUUUAGUGGAACUUCUGAGUAUAAAAAACAAAUAAAUCAAAACUUUCAACAACGGAUCUCUUGGUUCUGGCAUCGAUGAAGAACGCAGCAAAAUGCGAUAAGUAAUGUGAAUUGCAGAAUUCAGUGAAUCAUCGAAUCUUUGAACGCACAUUGCGCCCGCCAGUAUUCUGGCGGGCAUGCCUGUUCGAGCGUCAUUUCAACCCUCAAGCCCAGCUUGGUGUUGGGAGCUGCAGUCCUGCUGCACUCCCCAAAUACAUUGGCGGUCACGUCGAGCUUCCAUAGCGUAGUAAUUUACAUAUCGUUACUGGUAAUCGUCGCGGCCACGCCGUUAAACCCCAACUUCUGAAUGUUGACCUCGGAUCAGGUAGGAAUACCCGCUGAACUUAAGCAUAU
rnacentral:rRNA from 1 species